rnacentral:rRNA from 1 species
GGAAGUAAAAGUCGUAACAAGGUUUCCGUAGGUGAACCUGCGGAAGGAUCAUUGUCGAUGGCUCGCAAUCAGUUUGACCGGCGAACAUGUCUAUCUAACCCACGGGGGCUGGCUUGAUGAUCUCAUCCUCCCCUCUGCUGAGAGGCGGUCGUGCACGGCGCUGCUUCCUCUCGGCAGACACGAACCCCGGCACUUAGUGUGCCAAGGAAUCCAAAACUGUUUGGCGCGGGCCCGGGGGACUCGGAGACGAUGUCCCUCGGGUCUGUCACCACACACAAAUAAGAAUGACUCUCGGCAAUGGAUAUCUCGGCUCUUGCAUCGAUGAAGAACGUAGCGAAAUGCGAUACUUGGUGUGAAUUGCAGAAUCCCGUGAACCAUCGAGUCUUUGAACGCAAGUUGCGCCCGAAGCCAUUAGGCUGAGGGCAUGCCUGCCUGGGUGUCACACUCCGUUACCCUCACGCAAAACGCCUGCUGUUAGCAGCUGCGCGGGGCGUGUACGAUGACCUCCCGCGAGCGGUGUGCCGUGGUUGGUUGAAAAUGGAGUUCACGGCUGGGCGCGCCGUGGCAAAAUGGUGGAUGGGCGAACGCCCGAGACCAAUCACGCGCGACGCUGUCCCGUUUGGGCUCUUUGACCCCUGCGGCGUCUUCGGACGCUCUUGGCGAGACCUCAGGUCAGGCGGGGCUACCCGCUGAGUUUAAGCAUAUCAAUAAGCGGAGGA